rnacentral:rRNA from 1 species
UACGUAGGGGGCAAGCGUUAUUCGGAAUUAUUGGGCGUAAAGGGCGCGUAGGCGGCUAGAUGUGUCAAAGGUGAAAUCCCUCGGCUCAACUGAGAAACUGCCUUUGAAACUGUCUGGCUUGAGGCCGGGAGAGGGUAGCGGAAUUCCCAGUGUAGCGGUGAAAUGCGUAGAUAUUGGGAGGAACACCAGUGGCGAAGGCGGCUACCUGGACCGGUUCUGACGCUGAGGCGCGAAAGCGUGGGUAGCAAACAGG